rnacentral:misc_RNA from 1 species
GAUGAAGAACGCAGCGAAAUGCGAUAAGUAAUGUGAAUUGCGGAAUUCAGUGAAUCAUCGAAUCUUUGAACGCACAUUGCGCCCGCCAGUAUUCUGGCGGGCAUGCCUGUUCGGGCGUCAUUACAACCCUCAGGCCCCCGGGCCUGGCGUUGGGGAUCGGCGGAGCCCCCCGUGGGCACACGCCGUCCCCCAAAUGCAGUGGCGGUCCCGCCGCAGCUUCCAUCGCGUAGUAGCUAACACCUCGCGACUGGAGAGCGGCGCGGCCACGCCGUAAAACACCCAACCCUUCUGAAGUUGACCUCGAAUCAGGUAGGAAUACCCGCUGAACUUAAGCAUAUCAAUAAGCGGAGGA